ensembl:rRNA 5S_rRNA 5S ribosomal RNA
GUCUAUGGCCAUACAACCAUGAAUGCAUCUAAUUUCUUCUGAUCUUGGAAGCUAAGCAGGGUUGGGCCUGAUUAGUACUUGGAUGGGAGAUUUAUUUAGUACUAAAAAAA